UUUAAAAUUAAAUAAAUCUUUUUUUAAUUAUAUAUAAUUACAAGGAUUUUCGGACCCCCGAAAUAUGCGAAUUAUAAAACAUUUCGUCAAAAUAUUAAUUUUGGGGAAAAAGGGUAAAUUUAACAAAAUUUAUGGGCGACCGACAAUGGAUAAUUUAAAAUGUUUUACGCGCCAUUUUUGCAAUGCGUGGGAACGAUAUUAUAAAACAAACAUACCACCAAAAAUAAAAUAUUUAAUGGCAUAUAUAAAUAUUUUUUUAAUUUUUUAUCAAAUAUUUCGUUUUUUUUUCAAAAUAUUAAAAAAAGAUUUGCUAAUAUAAAUAAAACCCUAAUAUUUGUAAACAAUAUAUUUAAAAUAAAUUAACAAACGAAUUUAGUUUAAAAACUUUACGCAAAAAACAAACGUUCCUUACGAUAAAAAAUUUUGUAAAAUUGCAUUAAUUUUUAUAGUUCGAAGAUUUUUAUAAUUACGUAUAUAAAAGGUAUUAGGUAAACGACGCCAAUUUAUUAAAUAUAUAUUAUUUUAAUUUUGCUAGGGUAAUAAAAUUAUAUGGAACAAAAUACAAAAUAAAAUGCUUUUUUAAUUCCAUAUUAUUUAAUUAAAACUGAUUUUAAAAUAGGAUUUCGUUUUGUUAAUUGGUUGGAAAAACGGAAAAACUAAAUUUAAAUUAAAAAUACAAAAAGCAAUUUGUAAAGGAAAAAACGAUAGGCAAUAAAUCGAUCCGCCAUUAAAUACCCGUAAUGCAAUUAUUUAUUU
rnacentral:sRNA from 1 species